AUAGUCCACAACACCAUGGAUAUUAGACUCCAAGUGCUUGAAAUUAUUACAGACAACUUUUCAGAUAAUAGAAAAGUCGGCAGUGGUGCGUAUGGAAAUGUUUAUAAGGGAGUGCAUAAUGGAAAAGAGAUUGCAGUGAAGAAGCUUCAUCCCUUGAUAGGACUUGAUGAUAAGGAUUUUAAGAAUGAAUUCAGUAACCUUAGCAUGGUCCACCAUGAAAAUAUAGUACAGUUAGUUGGCUACUGCUAUGAAGCACGGAAUAACUUUAUUAAAUACAGUGGAGAACUAAACAUGGCUCAAUAAAAGGAGCGAAUUCUCUGCUUUGGCUACAUGAAGCGUGGAAGCCUUGACAGCCAUAUUAAAGAUGAGUUGUGUGACCUUGACUGGCCAGUGUGCUACAAAAUUAUUACUGGGACCUGUGCUGGUUUAAAUCACCUUCAUAGUGCACAUGACAAACCUAUUUUCCAUAUGGAUUUAAAACCCGCUAACAUAUUACUAGAUGAGAACGUGACGGCUAAAAUUGCAGAUCUUGGUCUAUCGAGACUUGUUAAUUCAACACAAACUCACAGAACAAUAGUAGCCAGCUUCAGAGGAACGUUUGGGUACAUGCCGCCUGAAUACAUUGAUGAAUUCGAUAUAUCAAGUAAGUUUGAUGUCUACAGUUUGGGAGCAAUCAUUAUAGGAAUAAUGGAUGGAGAAAAUGGACACUCUCAUUUUUCUGAAAUGGGUGCCGAAAAGUUCACUGGAAACGUCAUAGCAAACUGGGAUAGAAGUCUGGCAGGACCAUCGACAUCAAGUUAUUCAUCCAAAAAAGAAGACAUCCUACGAGUGAAGACGUGUGUCAAAAUAGCAUUAAGAUGUGUGGAAACAGACAAAAAUAAAAGACCAUCUCCAAAGGAUAUUGUGCAGGAACUGGAAAAACUAGAAUUGGAGAUUAAGAAAAUGUCACUACAUUCUGACAAAUCAGAAGAUCGAAUUGGCCCGUCCGUGCAGACAAGCUCUGGCUGUAGUACUGUUCUUUCGCUUGAUCCAUCCCAAGAGUUGCGCUUCCUAUUCGAGCCAAGGAUGAACGCAUCAACCUGCCUGCAGCUAACAAACAUGACAGAGGACUUCAUUGCAUUUAAUAUAAAGACCAACAAACGGAAGUAUUGUGCACAGCCAAAUACCGGAGUUAUGGCACCAUGUUCUAAGCGUUAUGUCUCUGUGACACUUAAGGCACAGGUGGAGGCACCACUGCGUAUGCAAUGCGAUGACAUGUUUGUUGUGCAGAGUGCUCGUGUGAAUGAGGACCUCAAAUUUGAUAAGAUCCCUGAUGAGUUUUUGGACGAAGGAAAAGUGGAUACGGUGAAAUUACCUAUUGUUUAUGUUGGAGCAACCCAAUUUCCGCGCUCCGACGUCUAG
rnacentral:rRNA from 1 species